GGAAAGGCGCGCGAUACAGGGUGACAGCCCCGUACACAAAAAUGCACAUGCUGUGAGCUCGAUGAGUAGGGCGGGACACGUGGUAUCCUGUCUGAAUAUGGGGGGACCAUCCUCCAAGGCUAAAUACUCCUGACUGACCGAUAGUGAACCAGUACCGUGAGGGAAAGGCGAAAAGAACCCCGGCGAGGGGAGUGAAAAAGAACCUGAAACCGUGUACGUACAAGCAGUGGGAGCACGCUUAGGCGUGUGACUGCGUACCUUUUGUAUAAUGGGUCAGCGACUUAUAUUCUGUAGCAAGGUUAACCGAAUAGGGGAGCCGAAGGGAAACCGAGUCUUAACUGGGCGUUAAGUUGCAGGGUAUAGACCCGAAACCCGGUGAUCUAGCCAUGGGCAGGUUGAAGGUUGGGUAACACUAACUGGAGGACCGAACCGACUAAUGUUGAAAAAUUAGCGGAUGACUUGUGGCUGGGGGUGAAAGGCCAAUCAAACCGGGAGAUAGCUGGUUCUCCCCGA
rnacentral:rRNA from 1 species